rnacentral:rRNA from 1 species
CCUACGGGUGGCAGCAGUAGGGAAUCUUUCACAAUGGGCGAAAGCCUGAUGGAGCAACGCCGCGUGCAGGAUGACGGCCUUCGGGUUGUAAACUGCUUUUAUAAGCGAGAAAUAUGAUGGUAACUUAUGAAUAAGGAUCGGCUAACUACGUGCCAGCAGCCGCGGUCAUACGUAGGAUCCGAGCAUUAUCCGGAGUGACUGGGUGUAAAGAGUUGCGUAGGUGGCAUAAUAAGUAGCUAGUGAAAUCUGGUGGCUCAACCAUUCAGACUAUUAGCUAAACUGUUAAGCUCGAGACCGUUAGAGGUAACUGGAAUGUCUAGUGUAGGGGUGAAAUCCGUAGAUAUUAGAAGGAACACCAAUAGCGUAGGCAGGUUGCUGGGACGGUUCUGACACUAAGGCACGAAAGCGUAGGGAGCAAACGGGAUUAGAUACCCCAGUAGUC